GAUGAACGCUGGCGGCGUGCCUAAUACAUGCAAGUCGAGCGAACGGACGAGAAGCUUGCUUCUCUGAUGUUAGCGGCGGACGGGUGAGUAACACGUGGAUAACCUACCUAUAAGACUGGGAUAACUUCGGGAAACCGGAGCUAAUACCGGAUAAUAUUUUGAACCGCAUGGUUCAAAAGUGAAAGACGGUCUUGCUGUCACUUAUAGAUGGAUCCGCGCUGCAUUAGCUAGUUGGUAAGGUAACGGCUUACCAAGGCAACGAUGCAUAGCCGACCUGAGAGGGUGAGCGGCCACACUGACACUGAGACAGGCCCCAGACCCAUCGGGGGGGCACAGGUGGGGAAUCUUCCGCAAGGGGCAAAACCCUAACGGAGCACCCCCGGGUGAGUAUGAAAGUUCUUCGGAUCGAAAAACUUUUUUAUUGGGAAAAAACAUAUUUGUAAUAACCUGUGCACUUCUUGAGGGAACCAAACCAAAAACCCCGGGCAAACCCCGUC
rnacentral:rRNA from 1 species